UGAUAAUUCCAGUUAGAUAUGUUUGAUAUUCUUGGUUGUUGCUUUUUUGUCUUUCACCCAGGAAUCAAACAUAUUAUUACUGUGAUUAUUG
rnacentral:pre_miRNA from 1 species